UGAAGCUUCUAGCUUGCUAGAAGUGGAUUAGUGGCGCACGGGUGAGUAAGGUAUAGUUAAUCUGCCCUACACAAGAGGACAACAGUUGGAAACGACUGCUAAUACUCUAUAUUCCUGCUUAACACAAGUUGAGUAGGGAAAGUUUUUCGGUGUAGGAUGAGACUAUAUAGUAUCAGCUAGUUGGUAAGGUAAUGGCUUACCAAGGCUAUGACGCUUAACUGGUCUGAGAGGAUGAUCAGUCACACUGGAACUGAGACACGGUCCAGACUCCUACGGGAGGCAGCAGUAGGGAAUAUUGCGCAAUGGGGGAAACCCUGACGCAGCAACGCCGCGUGGAGGAUGACACUUUUCGGAGCGUAAACUCCUUUUCUUAGGGAAGAAUUCUGACGGUACCUAAGGAAUAAGCACCGGGCUAACUCCGUGCCAGCAGCCGCGGUAAUACGGAGGGUGCAAGCGUUACUCGGAAUCACUGGGCGUAAAGGGCGCGUAGGCGGAUUAUCAAGUCUCUUGUGAAAUCUAAUGGCUUAACCAUUAAACUGCUUGGGAAACUGAUAGUCUGGAGUGAGGGAGAGGCAGAUGGAAUUGGUGGUGUAGGGGUAAAAUCCGUAGAUAUCACCAAGAAUACCCAUUGCGAAGGCGAUCUGCUGGAACUCAACUGACGCUAAGGCGCGAAAGCGUGGGGAGCAAACAGGAUUAGAUACCCUGGUAGUCCACGCCCUAAACGAUGUACACUAGUUGUUGGGGUGCUAGUCAUCUCAGUAAUGCAGCUAACGCAUUAAGUGUACCGCCUGGGGAGUACGGUCGCAAGAUUAAAACUCAAAGGAAUAGACGGGGACCCGCACAAGCGGUGGAGCAUGUGGUUUAAUUCGAAGAUACGCGAAGAACCUUACCUGGGCUUGAUAUCCUAAGAACCUCUUAGAGAUAAGAGGGUGCUAGCUUGCUAGAACUUAGAGACAGGUGCUGCACGGCUGUCGUCAGCUCGUGUCGUGAGAUGUUGGGUUAAGUCCCGCAACGAGCGCAACCCACGUAUUUAGUUGCUAACGGUUCGGCCGAGCACUCUAAAUAGACUGCCUUCGUAAGGAGGAGGAAGGUGUGGACGACGUCAAGUCAUCAUGGCCCUUAUGCCCAGGGCGACACACGUGCUACAAUGGCAUAUACAAUGAGACGCAAUACCGCGAGGUGGAGCAAAUCUAUAAAAUAUGUCCCAGUUCGGAUUGUUCUCUGCAACUCGAGAGCAUGAAGCCGGAAUCGCUAGUAAUCGUAGAUCAGCCAUGCUACGGUGAAUACGUUCCCGGGUCUUGUACUCACCGCCCGUCACACCAUGGGAGUUGAUUUCACUCGAAGCCGGAAUACUAAACUAGUUAC
rnacentral:rRNA from 1 species